GCAUAGAAAAACGAACACACAACAUGGCCAGUGUAGCGCGAUUCCUGAACGAUUAUUCUAAUGAGCCGGGUCUUUUUAACGAAUCAAAAUCAUACAGCGCCGCAAACAGUAUAGUUUUAUUCCAGAACAAGUGACUCUUCUGAGCAGAUUCCUUUUAGUGAAUCAAAAACAUACAGCGCGGCCAACGUUGUCUGAUUACCAAACAAAUUACUCUUCUGAGCAGGUUCUUCUGAGUGAAUCAAAACCAAAGUGUGACCAGAGAAGCGAUUCCUGAAUAAAUGACUCAAUAUUGUUUUUUUUUUUUUUUUUUUUUGGGUGAACCAAAAACUUAUACCACAACCAUAUGGCCUGAUUUCCGAACAAAAGACUCUUAUAAUCGAUUCUUUAAUCUAUUCAAAAACAUAUCUAGGCCUACUAGUCUAGCCUGGUUACUGAAUGACUGACUUUUAUGAGCAGAUUCUUUUAAUGAAUAGUUCAUAAAACCGGUAUCUGGAUUGAAUCAGUUUGACUCCUUCACUGAACUGAACGAGAAAGCGGUUAAUAAAUCUAUAUUUUACUGACUUAAUGAAUGCUGGCCAUGCUGUUUUUGAUUCACUAAAAAGAACCGGCUCAGAAGAGUCACUCAUUUUUAGAAUCGGACUAUACUGGUCGUGCUGUUUGAUUUUGAUUCAUUAAAAAGAACUGGCUCCUGAGAAUCAUUUGUUCGGGAAUCGCGAUACACUAGCCGCGUUGUGUGCUUUGGAGUUCACAGGUUUUAAAGAUUUUCAGAUAGCUUACGACAGCUGCCAUGUUGACAAGGAUGCAUGAAAGAAACAUCCUUAAACAAGUAACCUUUUCAUCUUUCCGUCCAUCAUUUGCGGAUACAAACGCAAGGGCAGGUGAAAGCUCUUUGUUGGAAAAUGAUCCAACAAAACUGUGUCAGCAAAGAACAGUGUUCGUCAUGAGGACAGGUGGUCAAGACAGACGAGAGGAGAGCCAGAAACUCCCCAGCUCAUAAACCUUCCAAACCAGAGGGAAGUUUUUAUACACAGACACAGGGCUGCUGAAGCACUGAUGGGGCUCCGGCUCCAUUAAGCUGAUCACUGAAGAAAAUCAACGAGCCAACGCAGGGGGAAGCAAACUAAUGGCCAAGCUGGUGAAUAAUUCCCUCUAUCAAUCCAGAUGAAAGUGAAACACCCAGCACACAUGGAAGGGAAGAAUCAAUCUCGACGUGCUUAAGAUCUCAGCAAGUGCAGAAAACAUCAGGGCUUCCCUGGAUGACUGCGACUUGAGAGGAAGGCCAACUCCCAGCUGAACAUCAUAAGGAGAUCCCAGUGUUUUUGAGCAUGUCUGUGCUACUGGUUACUGAUUCAUUAUUAAUUAGAGCACUAUGCAUCUGAUAACUCAAACAGACUCAGUUGAGACAGUUUUUAUCAGACAGAGAGUAAUUAAAUAUAAUUUGAUGAUUGAAGCUGAAUUCACGGAGGAAGUGCAUCCAACCUUUCCGAUCAGGAAGAAGUUUUGGUAGAAGUUCUCUAGCAGUGCUGUCCUGAAAGUACCUCACCAAACUUCACAGGGGCUUGUGGGAGUGACUGCGGAAGACUCCUAAACCUGACAGCAGCAGAAGCGGGGCUCGCUCAGUUUCUGCCUGUGCGAAGAAUAAAAAGCAAACAGACUUUGUGCGUGGCAGCGCCUAGAUCUGUAACAAUAGCGAGUGUCAACAGCACUGAUCACAGGAAAAUCACAUUGAGUUUUUGUUUUACAGUGUACAGGGACAUUUCAAUGCCACACACACACACACACACACACACACACACACACACACACACACACACACACACACACACACACACACACACACAAACUCUGUUCCAAAACUUCCACUGUGUUCCAGAUGGUAUAAAUGGUGCCUUCACAAGGCACUUCAAAGGGAGAAAAGUCACCUCAGUCAUGGGUUGCUCCAAACAGAAGAACAUUUUUCAAGUAAUGUUUAAAAAAACAUUACUUAACCCUCAUGUUGUAUUCUUUUCAUUUUAACUCAGAGACGAUUUUCUUUUCUCCAAAAGGCCAGUUAAUGUUACUAAUUUUUUGCUCACACAACAUAUAAGAACUUGACAAAAAUGUUUAAAUGACCGGUCUAAAAAAUUGCUUAUAAAUUUCUUAUGCUAUAUUAUUACCACAUACUGGAUUCAUUGUUUUUAUCAACUUGUUUUCUUUCAAUUAGCACAGGUUUUGUAUUUGGUUUUUGCAUCUUAGCUUAUGCAUCUCACUUUUGAGUGAACACUGUCAAAAUUAGCCACAAAAACUGAGUUGCAUAAGCAUAAGGAGGUGCAUUAUUUACAAUUUGGUGAUAAUAAAACGUAAUGGAUUUACAAGUAAGGGUUAAUUCUUAGUGCAUUAUGAAUGACCAAAUUAUUAUUUAUUUUUUUUAAUUUACUUCACACAUCACAAUUUAUAUAGAAUUUUAACACUUUAUGUCUAUAAUAUAUAAUUGAGUUUAAAAGUAAAAAACAUUUUAGUCAAUGUUGGAAAUGUGACUUCCCCCUUUUUGUUUAAAUGUAAUUUAAGGAAUACAUAGAUUGUUUCAGACACAUUUCAAUAUAAGAACAUUAAAUUUAUCAUCUCAUCAAUUUAGUAUUCUACUUUGACA